rnacentral:lncRNA from 1 species
CUGGAUGCAGCCAUUGCUAACGGCAUUAAGCUCCCGCUCGAAGAUCAACGCGGUGUACUGGAUUCAGCUGUUGCCUCCGCCAUUAGGGAUGCUGUGGAUUCGAUCCUGGUACCAGCUUUACAUGACAUGCGAACAGAAAUACAAAAGACUGCUGAAGCCGUGAAUGGCUUUACCAAUGAACUCGAUAAAGUGAGCAAGUCUGCUAAGAGGACCCAGGACCAAAUGGAUGCUGUGCAGGCCGCUGCAUGGGAAUAUAGGCGUUCGCUAAGCGAGCUAAAGUUGCAGCUUGACCUCCUUACCACAAAGUUGACGGACCUGGAGGACAGGGGGCGAAGGAAUAACAUAAGGCUGGUUGGCUUACCAGAAUCAGUGGAGGGUUCUGAUGCAGUUGGCUACCUGAAAAAGAAUCUAUCUAAAUGGAUCCCUUCGUUGGAUGGCCGUGACAUCGAUAUUGAACGGGCGCAUCAGGUAUAUGACGGAGGCCAGGCUAAUUCCAACAAACCACGAACUCUCAUCUUCAGACUGCUCCGUUGGCAGGACAGAGCGGCAAUCCUUAACGGUGCACGGAAUGUCUUCCCAGUGAAGUAUAAAUUCAACGGAGCCACCCCGAAAAUAACCGCUGGCUCCGCUACUCUUCUGUUUUUCCCCGACUUUAGCCCAGCAACGACAGCCAGGAGGAAGAGCUGCAGCUCUGUCCUGAAGAAGGCUAAAGAAAUGGGUCUGAAGCCGUUCCUCGUUUAUCCUGCAUGGAUUAAACUUCAGUACAAAGGUGAGAAGAGGAUGUUCGACUCUCCCCAAAUGGCUGAAGACUUCCUCAACUCUCUCCAACGGAGAGCCCCUGUUGCAGCGGAGUGCGAGAGUGAAGCGGUCGCCAUGGUAACAAUCCCAGGCCUAUUAACAGUGGCCCACGCUGAUCUCCAGGAUGACAGAGAGGGUAACCUGACGGACAUGGACGGAUGAGUCUUCGAACCUUACCUGACAUAAAUAAGUUCUUAAAGUUUAAGCAGUUAGUGUUUAAGAAAUUUUUUAUUUUUAUUUUUUUGGUGAGCGGGU